rnacentral:tRNA from 1 species
GCUGAAAUAGCUCAGUUGGCUAGAGCGUGUGGUUGUUAACCACAAGGUUGGAGGUUUGAGCCCUCCUUCUAGCA